rnacentral:lncRNA from 1 species
UUAACAAGGUCACACCGCCCCGGCACCGGCAAACCUCAGAGCGCAGGGAGCAGGACUCUGGCGAACUGCGAGGCCCUCUGGAGGUCGACCCAGUGUGACCGCGCCUGCGGGGUCAAGCCAGGUCGACGUGCCGGCGGGUCCGAGAAUGCCAAAGCUGGGCUAGGGGCGUGGCACUGCCGCGCCCCGCACGUGAUAUGGCCGCGCUGUCGGCAGUGCGUCUGGCGGCGGCUCCUCCCGUGACAUCUGUGAUAUGGCACACCGUGUGCGGCAGUGCAGUAGGGUUCACUGUGUACGAUCCAUACGUUUACCGCUUAAGCGUUUGUUGACAUUGUUUUUAGUUCAAAACGGUCGGGUGUGUGGUGUAUUCUGUCGAGUUUUGGGCUUGCGUUUUGUGCCAAUGAGUUCGUGGCGCCCAUGGCGCCUGUGAAGUUCCCUCUCUGACGGUAUAUCCCCACAGCACUUAAGCUGUGAGCGCGGGGGGGGGGGGCAAAGUUGGAACGGGAAGUGGCUUUGGCGACGUAGCCCUGGCACUGGAGAAUCUAAGGUUGAAUGUAUGUUGUUGUGUGGCAGGCUGUCACGGCGCUGUAUGUUGUGUGGCAGGCUGUCACGGCGCUGUCAUUCAGGAGGGAUUCCGCGCCAGCCUCAACCACUGUCUUAGUUUCAGCUUCCGAUGGUUCAUCUCCAGCCGCGCAUACUUGGAUAGGCACCAGGCAUGGGACAGUGUUCAUGACUUGUUCGCUUGAUAUAAUGUGCGUUUUGUAUGACGUAGUAUCAGAACGGCUCACCAAGGGCGCCGUUCCGACAAUGCGCCAAAUGUUGGCUAGCGCCCAUCGCUCUGCCCCACCUGCAUAAUUGCGGCAUUCUGAAAUGAUCAGUGCUGUCGAUGCUCACACCGCCACCACCCAGCUUUCGCACGCCCUGUUGGCCAUCUUUGUGUGCUCCCGUUGCCUGUGCGGCACCAACCUCGCCUCCACCCCUCAUCCUAGGGCGAGUCGGCAGUCCCUACCGCUGCCCCAGCUAGCUCCCUCCAGCUUUAGAUUCUCUGCCGCUCCCUCAGCUGGCCUCUUUCAACCACAGAUUCUCUGCCUCUGCCUCAGCUGACCUUCUCUAGCCCCAAACUCUCUCUAACGCUGCCUCAGCUGGUCUCUUUCAACUUCAGACUCUCUACCGCUGCCUCAGCUGCCCUCCUCCACCUCCAGACCCUCAGCCGCUGCCUCAGCUGCCCUCCUCCAUCUCCAGACUCUCUACCGCUGCCUCAGCCGCCCUCCCCCACCUUCAGACUCCCUACCGCUGCCCCAGCUGCUCUCUUCCACCUCCAGACUCUCUUCCGUUGCCUCAGCUGGUCUCCUUCACCUCUUGACUCUCAACCGCUGCCUCAGCUGUUCUCUCCCAACUUCAGACUCUCUGCUGUUGCCUCGGUAGGCCUCCCCCAGCCCCAGACUCCUGAAGGGCGCCACUGGUGGUGCAGCGCGGUGCUCUAGCCUGGCGUUUCUCUAUCGGGGCGCGCCAGAUCCCACCUGGGCGUGGUUCGGUGUCGCAGCUGCUCGUCCAGCGUUAAGAAUACAGUUUAAAUGGCUGGC